UACGUAGGUCCCGAGCGUUGUCCGGAUUUAUUGGGCGUAAAGCGAGCGCAGGUGGUUUAUUAAGUCUGGUGUAAAAGGCAGUGGCUCAACCAUUGUAUGCAUUGGAAACUGGUAGACUUGAGUGCAGGAGAGGAGAGUGAAAUUCCAUGUGUAGCGGUGAAAUGCGUAGAUAUAUGGAGGAACACCGGUGGCGAAAACGGCUCUCUGGCCUGUAACUGACACUGAGGCUCGAAAGCGUGGGGAGCAAACAGG
rnacentral:rRNA from 1 species